GACGAACGCUGGCGGCGCGCCUAACACAUGCAAGUCGAACGAGCGAGAGAGAGCUUGCUUUCUCAAGCGAGUGGCGAACGGGUGAGUAACGCGUGAGGAACCUGCCUCAAAGAGGGGGACAACAGUUGGAAACGACUGCUAAUACCGCAUAAGCCCACAGGUCGGCAUCGACCAGAGGGAAAAGGAGCAAUCCGCUUUGAGAUGGCCUCGCGUCCGAUUAGCUAGUUGGUGAGGUAACGGCCCACCAAGGCAACGAUCGGUAGCCGGACUGAGAGGUUGAACGGCCACAUUGGGGCUGAGACACGGCCCAGACUCCUACGGGAGGCAGCAGUGGGGAAUAUUGCACAAUGGGGGAAACCCUGAUGCAGCGACGCCGCGUGGAGGAAGAAGGUCUUCGGAUUGUAAACUCCUGUUGUUGAGGAAGAUAAUGACGGUACUCAACAAGGAAGUGACGGCUAACUACGUG
rnacentral:rRNA from 1 species